AUUAAAUUUGAUUUUUGUUUUUUUAUUUGGCUUUGAGCUUAAAAUGCAUGUAAAUUUUUAUUAGAUAUUUUAUUCUUAAUGAUUAAUUUUAUAUUUUCAGUAUUAAAGAUUUUUUAGUUAAGAUUUUAAUUUAAGUUAUGCUCUUUAGAACUAAAAAAUGUUGUGCCAGCAUUUGCGGUUAUACAUCAAGUUCAAGUUAAUUUAUUUUAGAUUUUAGUUUCUUUUAAGUUUUAAAUUUUUGUAUUUAGGUGAAAUUUAUAUAUUUUAUUUUUUUUAUUCUAUUUAAGUUUUGGUUUAAACCAGGAUUAGAUACCCUGUUAUUCUAAAUUAAUUAAAAUUUCUAAGGUAGUAUGUUUUAUAAUUGAAAUUUAAUAGAUCUGGCGGUUUUUAAAUCUUUUUAGAGGAACCUGUAAUUUAAAUGAUAAUCCACGAUUUUUUUUACCUUAUUUUUCUUGUAUAUCUCUGUCGUUGAAUGUAAUGAAAAUUUAUUUUCUUUUUCUUUAUUUUAAGAAUUAUGUUAGGUCAAGGUGCAGUUAUAUUAAGGUUAUUAUGGGUUACAUUAAUUUUUUUUUUUUGAUUUUUUAUUUUGAUUAAUUUUGAAUUUGGAUUUAAUAGUAAUUUUUUUUAAUUAAUUUUUUGAAUUUUGCUCUUAAUAAUGUACAUAUCGCCCGUCACUCUCAUAAAUUGAGAUAAGUCGUAACAAAGUAGAUGUACUGGAAAGUGUAUCUAGAAA
rnacentral:ncRNA from 1 species